rnacentral:rRNA from 1 species
CGAGCGGACAGAUGGGAGCUUGCUCCCUGAUGUUAGCGGCGGACGGGUGAGUAACACGUGGGUAACCUGCCUGUAAGACUGGGAUAACUCCGGGAAACCGGGGCUAAUACCGGAUGCUUGUUUGAACCGCAUGGUUCAAACAUAAAAGGUGGCUUCUGCUACCCCUUUCAGAUGGGCCCCCCGCCCAAUAACUUAUUGGGGAGGGAACGGCUCACCCAGGGAACCAUGCCUAACCCAACUGAAAAGGUGAUCCGCCCCCCUGGGACUGAAAACCCGGCCCAAAUCCUACCGGAAGGCACCAUAAGGAAUCCUCCCCAAUGGACCAAAGUCUGAACGAACAACCCCCCCUGGAUGAUGAAAGUUUUCCGAUCCUAAAACUCCGGUGUUAAGGAAAAACACAAUACCGUUCGAAUAAGGGCCGUACCUUGACGGUACCCUAACCAAGAAAGCCACGGCUAACUUACGUGCCAGCAGCCGCGGUAAUAACGUAGGGUGGCAAGCGUUUGUCCGGAAUUAUUGGGCGUAAAGGGCGUCGCAAGGCGGUUUCUUUAAGUCUGAAUGUGAAAGCCCCGGGCUCAACCCGGGGAGGGUCAUUGGAAACUGAGGAACUUGAGUGCAGAAGAGGAGAGUGGAAUUCCACGUGUAGCGGUGAAAUGCGUAGAGAUGUGGAGGAACACCAGUGGCGAAGGCGACUCUCUGGUCUGUAACUGACGCUGAGUGAGCGAAAGCGUGGGGAGCGAACAGGAUUAGAUUCCCUGGUAGUUCACGCCGUAAACGAUGAGUGUUAAGUGUUAGGGGGUUUCCGCCCCUUAGGGGUGCAGCUAACCCAUUAAGCCUUCCCCCUGGGGAGUACGGUUCCAAGAUUGAAAUUCAAAGGAAUUGACGGGGGCCCCCCCAAGGGGGGGGGCAUGGGGUUUAAUUUGAAGCAACGGGAAGAACCUUACCAAGUUUUGACAUCUUUUGACCAUCCUAGAAAUAAGAUUUCCCCUUCGGGGGCCGAAUGACCGGUGGGGCAAGGUUGUUGUUAAGUUGGGUUGUGAGAAGGUGGGUUAAGUUCCGCAACGAAGGCCACCCUUUAUUUUAAUUGCCCACCAUUAAUUGGGCCAUUUAAAGUGGAUGCCGGGGACCAACCGGAAGAAAGGGGGGAAGAAGUUAAAUUCUCCAUCCCCUUAAGACCUGGGGUUCCCCCGUGGUUCAAAGGACCGAACAAAGGGCAAGGAAACCGGGGGGGUAAACCAAUUCCCCAAAUUUGUUUUUAAUUUGGAUUGCAGUUUGCAAAUUGGAUGCGUGAAAGCGGAAUUGGUAGUAAUUGGGGAUUAACCAUGCGCGGUGAAUUAGUUUCCGGGCCUUGUACCCCCCCCCCGUCCCCCCCAGGGAAUUUUAACCCCCGAAGUCGGUGAGGUUACCCUUUGGAGCCAG